UAGAUACCCUAUUAUAAAAAUUUAAAUUUAUUACUAAAAAAUUAAUAGUUAAGUUCUUUAAAUUUAAAAAAUUUGGCGGUAUUUUAGUCUUAUUAGAGGAACCUGUUUUAUCAUUGAUAAUCCACGAUUAAUUUUACUUAUUUUAUUAUAAUUCAUAUAUCGCUGUCAUGAAUAUAUUUAAAAAUUUAUUUUCUUUAAUUAAUAUUUUAAUUUAUGUUAAGUCAAGAUGUGGUUAAUUUAUAAGAAAAUAAUGGGUUACAAUAAAUUUUAUUUUUGGAAUUAGAAUGAAAAUUAAAAAUGAAAUUGGAUUUAAUAGUAAAUUUAUUUAUUUAAAUA
rnacentral:rRNA from 1 species